GAUGAACGCUGGCGGCGUGCUUAACACAUGCCAGUCGAACGAUAAGUGCAGAGGUAAACCUUCGGGCUUAGUGCUUUAUUUCUAGUGGCGAACGGGUGAGUCACGCCUGGGUACCCUGCUACAUACUGGGGGCUAAGACUUGUAAACGACUGUUCAUACCACAUAAUACCCUGGCACCGCAUGGUUCUUGGGUAAAAACUCGGGUGGCAUGAGAUGGGCCUGCGUUCGAUUUACUAGUUGGCGGGGUAACGGCCCACCAACGCGACGAGGGAUGGCCGAUCGGAGAGGAUGACUGGCAACAUGGGGAGUGAGACACGGCCAAAACUCCUACGGGAGGCAGAAGUGGGGAAUAGGGCAAAAGGGGGGAAACGCUGAGGCAGCGGCGCCGCGUGAGUGAAGAAGUAGUUCGGUAUGUAAAGCUGGAUCAGAAGGGAAGAAAAUGACGGUACCUGAGGAAGAAGCCCCGGCUAACUACGUG
rnacentral:rRNA from 1 species